CUGCACGAUGUCUCCCGGGCUCUUCUGAUUAACCCUUGACGAAAAAGCCCCAAUACACGUGCCAAAACGGCGCCGUUCGUGUUGCAGAUUAGCCCCAAUUUUAUCCACGGCUGAUCUGUGUCAAAGCAACGGCAAAAUUU
rfam:Glycine max cultivar Williams 82 chromosome 12, whole genome shotgun sequence.